AGCGGCGAACGGGUGAGUAACACGUGGGUAUCUGCCCUGCACUCUGGGAUAAGCCCGGGAAACUGGGUCUAAUACCGGAUAUGGUCGCAUGGUGAAAGAUUUAUCGGUGCAGGAUGGGCCCGCGGCCUAUCAGCUUGUUGGUGGGGUAAUGGCCUACCAAGGCGACGACGGGUAGCCGACCUGAGAGGGUGACCGGCCACACUGGGACUGAGACACGGCCCAGACUCCUACGGGAGGCAGCAGUGGGGAAUAUUGCACAAUGGGCGGAAGCCUGAUGCAGCGACGCCGCGUGAGGGAUGAAGGCCUUCGGGUUGUAAACCUCUUUCAGCAGGGACGAAGCGUGAGUGACGGUACCUGCAGAAGAAGCACCGGCUAACUACGUGCCAGCAGCCGCGGUAAUACGUAGGGUGCGAGCGUUGUCCGGAAUUACUGGGCGUAAAGAGUUCGUAGGCGGUUUGUCGCGUCGUUUGUGAAAACCCGGGGCUCAACUUCGGGCUUGCAGGCGAUACGGGCAGACUUGAGUGUUUCAGGGGAGACUGGAAUUCCUGGUGUAGCGGUGAAAUGCGCAGAUAUCACGAGGAACACCGGUGGCGACGCGGGUCUCUGGGAAACAACUGACGCUGAAGACGAAAGCGUGGUAGCAAACAGAUAGAUACCUUGUAGUCCACGCCGA
rnacentral:rRNA from 1 species